CGGCUUCACUCGGCUCCGCGGGCGGCCCCCGCUCCGGCUACUCGGCACAGCCGCGCCGCCAUCUUGGGGAGCGACGUCCGCGGCUCCGCGCGGCGUGCACGCCCAUUGGCCGGUCGGGGCGCCGCCAUCACGCACCCUAGAAUGGACUACUCUUGAUUCAACGUCCCUAUGCCCAUUUUGCAGAUGAGGAAACUGAACCAGGCAGAAGUCACCCAGCUCGAAGAGGGAUCUGAGAGACUCCAGCUUCCCGUCAGUCCUUCUCCCUGAUCUGACUGAGGAAACGGAGCCCCAGGAAGGUGGAUUAAUUGGAUUUGGGAUAGCGAUCCCGGAGGCUGUAAUCCAAACCCAGGGUUUACCUUUCCAGACGAGACUACUAAACCCAUAGGAAGGAAGUGCCUUGCCUGGUCACAGGGGCUGCACUCUGGGCACCAAAUCCUCCUCCUUUCUGAGCCCUCCUGGGGAAUCAACCCCCCCACCCCACCCCCCCACCACGACCACCACCAUGGGAUGUGCUAAGAAAAUGCUCUCCUGCAGAGGGGGCACCAUUUGUUUAAAAAAUUAAUAAAAUGUAUUUCCAGAAA